UUUCUUCUGCCCGGCAAACACCUCCUCGGUGGUGGGAAACAAGUGUCCAGCUGGCCAUUACUGCCCUGCUUCCACAUCCUUUGCUUCUCAAUUCCCCUGCCCCAGAGGCACCUACAAGCCACAGAGAGGGGGUGCCCAGCAGUCAGACUGCACACCCUGUGAACCAGGUAAGGGGACAGGUACAUAUCCCCAAUCCUACCAUGUUAGGCCACAUCUUCCCUGACCAGUGAGGGCAGGACUCAGGCCUGUCUCAGAUGGGGAUGCUUUGGCCAUAGCCCAUGGUGCACACUAGGUCAGCCCACAUUCGCUGGCUGGGGUGGAGGUACCCCAAUCCCUCUGCUCCCCAUGCCUGAGCGUCCUGUCUUCCCCUCUCUCCUACAGGUUCCUACUGCCUCCUACCUGGGCUAGUGGCUGUGUCUGGGCCUUGUAGUGCAGGGUUCCACUGUACUCAGGCAGCAGCUGUCCCAAAUCCCACUGAUGGGAUCACAGGAGACCUCUGUCCAUCGGGCCACUUUUGUCCCAAGGGUAGCCCCAAGCCCACUCCAUGCCCCCCAGGUUCUGUUCCUUUGGGAUUCAGAGGCCAGGCGCCAGGCCUAUUUGGCCAAUGGACUGUCCUGCUGGCUACUAUUGCCCUUUGGGUACCUGGACCCCCACCCAGCACCCAUGUCCAAGGGGAACCUUCCGAGAGUGGCCUGGUGCACGCAGUGCUACGGAUUGUAGACCUUGUCCUGCAGGACAAUUCUGUUCAGAUUCAGGAUCCGGGAAACCCUUCCCAGAUGGGCCAUGCUCAGCAGGUUAUUACUGUCCUCCUGGCCAGACCUCAGCCACCCCUACAUCUUUCCGGUGUCCCCGUGGCUUCUACUGUCCAGAGGGAUCUCCCCAGCCAAGGGCCUGUGAGAAUGGAACAUUCCAGCCCCAGGAGGCCAAGGGGUCUUGUGAGCCCUGCCCUGCAGGAUUCUACUGUGAAGCAUCAGGCACAGGGAUGUUCUGCUCAUCAGAAGGGCUGUCCCAGCCAUCAGGGCUCUGCCACUCAGCCCACUACUGCACAGGAGGUGCGGUGUCUCCCACCCCCCUCAAACACAAGGUGGAGGCCCCAGGACUUUCUGGGAAUGAUAUCUGCCCUCCCGGCUUCUUCUGCCCCAGAGGAACAGGCUCCCCAAUGCCAUGCCUGCCUGGGUCUUACUCCUCUGCCCCAGGCCUGGCCAGCGAGGACCAGUGCCAGCCGUGUCCUCCAGGGCACUACUGCAGCAACCCUGGGCUCUCCCAUGUCCCAGAGGCAGAACUCUGCGAUGCAGGGUAUAUCUGCCUGGGAGGCAGUGCUGUGCCCUCACCUUCUGAUGGAACCCACGGAUACAGAUGUCCUCCUGGCUUCCACUGUCCCUCAGGGGCUCACAGCGAGCAGCCCUGUGAACCUGGCACCUUCAGCCCAUUGCCUGGGGCUGACACCUGCCUGCCUUGCCCAGGAGGCACCUACUGCCAAAAUGUUGCUACCGUGGAGCCCACCACCUGCCCCAAAGGUCACUAUUGCCCAGGAGGGACACCCUCUGCUCUUCCCUGCCCGGAGGGAACCCUGAACCUACGGGAAGGUGCUCUCUCCCCCAGGGCCUGUCAGCCCUGUCCUGCAGGAAGAUACUGCCCUGGUGAGGGCAACGGGCAGACUGAGGAUCGCUCAGCCAGUCACUACCCUGUGUACCAGAUGCAGCAUUUGUUCAACAGCAACCCCAACUGGGACUUUGGGGCCUUCAGGAGACUCAGCCACCUCGUGCGAGAGACUCACCUCAACUUUUCAAGGUUUGCCCACCAGUUCCUAGAUCCAGGCACAUAUGUGUUUCGAGACAACAGACUGCCUGAGAGCAUCAUUGUGGUGCUGGUGAAGAAGAAAGGAGUGGCCUGCGAUCCCGGCCUAUCCCCUGUGCAGCCCUCCUCCCCGUAUCAGCUUGUCAGGCAUGGGGUCCUCAGGCACGAGCUGCUAAACCUGGGCCCAGACUGGACAGUGAUCACAGGAGAACCACUCCCCUUGAAGACCCUGGAGGACUUCAGUGUCCGCACUCUCUAUGACAAGCUCGAGGACCAGAGCCUACACGUGGCCGCCCAGCUGAGCAAACACAGGAGCGAGGCACUGGCCUUCUAUAGGGGUGCCAGCCAGCAGCUCCAGGGGCUCAAGGACUUUCUCCAACACCUCAGCACAACUGAGUGGCAAGCUCUGGACAAGGGUGGAGACCCAGAGAUGGAGGCCACAGCUGCCACCAGGACAGACACUGAGCAGAGUGUGGAAUCAUGGGGCCACCACACUGCAAGUCUACCUAGGGAGCCCUGGCAGCAUCCUCUAGCUCUCAGCAGGACCUGGGACCUGGACAGCUUCCCCAGUGUGCUGCCAAAGGAGGAGGCACCGAGAGCCCAGGCUCUAGGUUGUGGAUCAUUGGGGCUGGACACAGGCAUGGAGCCUUUCCUGAGAUGCAGAGGAAGAUAUGGCAGGUGGAAAACACUUUGGAUGAACUGAAUGAGGAGUUCUUCCAGCUCACUGCUCAAGCCCUAGAACUUCAGAAGGAAAAGGACAAACCAGGUCAACUUCCCCCAAGUGAAGGCAAUACAUUUGUGGUAAGCCCAGCAGACUACCACCUCAGCUCCUGAGAUGUCCACAGAUAGCUGGGUCUCACGUGUGGGGCCCACAGAGUCACAGGACCCCAUAGAAAGGGUUGGGACCAGAAAGUCCACCAACCAAAGUUUGGUUUUGCCUGUUUGGUUUAGCACAUACUUCUAGAGACAGGGAGGACCUCUCAAUCAGCUUGGGCUUGCAGGUCUCUAAGUAAAUUGAUGGCUCGGAAAGACUGAGGAAGAGUAUGAAAAGGGAGCAAUAAAAAUAGCUGUUUAGAUGUAGCUAACUAGUAG
rnacentral:lncRNA from 1 species